rnacentral:rRNA from 1 species
UACGGAGGGGACUAGCGUUGUUCGGAAUUACUGGGCGUAAAGCGCACGUAGGCGGAUUUGUAAGUCAGGGGUGAAAAUCCCGGGGCUCAACCUCGGAACUGCCUUUGAUACUGCAAAUCUCGAGUCCGGAAGAGGUGAGUGGAAUUCCUAGUGUAGAGGUGAAAUUCGUAGAUAUUAGGAAGAACACCAGUGGCGAAGGCGGCUCACUGGUCCGGUACUGACGCUGAGGUGCGAAAGCGUGGGGAGCAAACAGG